CCCACCCCUCGUGACAUGGUCAUCUGCCCUCUGCUGAGACCAGUGGCCAGAGACUGAUUUACAGCCUGGGGGGCCCUCGACCUCAGUACGAAGGAGACUGGGUUCAGUGCGGUGGCCCGGGGAGCCUGCCGCAGCCCCCCACCGCCGGCGCUGGACCGGGUCCCAGCCUCACGCAGGAGGAGGGAGCAGCACUGCUCUGAGGCCACUGCAAGAAAGCAGCUCUGGAAAGUAGGUUGGCACAGAUGCCUCCCUUCGGGGCGAGGGACGGGGAGGGGGGCUUGCUGUGUUCAGACUCCGGAUGGAUGUGAACUCGGGGACCGUGAGAAGCCUGCCGGAGCGAGGAAAGGGGGACAUGCCACUUUUGUUCAGCCUGAGCCACCAGCCCGGCGGCCAGGGGAGGUCCAGCGUCCCGAUGGGGAGGACACUCAGACUGUCCCCCUCGGCAGAGCUGAUGCAGGAGAAGCAACUGCUGUGUCUCCGAGGCCUGGCAGUGGGAGAAGCAAAGUGUGGGAGCUGGCGGGAGGCCCCGCCCCGUCAGCGUUCCGCCGAGUCUCAGCCUGACCCGUCUCUGCUGCGAGAGCGGCCAGCACAGCUGCAUUUCCCAGCUGGACGCAGGCACUCAGGCUGGAGCUGUAAGGUCAGGGCAGGGCCAGGGUGGUGGGACCGCGGGCGAGGCUGUCCCCCUGUGCCAGGCCUCAGGCUAGGACGGCUGCACUUGCUGUCUGACCUAACACAGCGAUCCACUUCUCAGAUGAGAACACUGAGGCCAUGUGAUCUGCCCGGGGUCAGGGGCCCACACCAGAUCUUGAGGCCAGUCUGCUCUCCCUGCUUCAGGAGGACUGGGCGGGCAGCUCCGCCAGGCAGGACCGCAAUGUGGAAAGUGGGGGGCUGGGGCGCCGACAGGCCCCAGAGGUAGAUGGGUCCAUGCAGGUGACAGUAUGGCCACUGAUGGUGGCAGGAUUUAGCCAGAGCCCUGCUGGUCCCCUGAUUUGGACUAAAAGCAAACUCUUCAGCAUUCAAAGGCCUUGCUCCUCCGGGAUCUUAGUGGUUGAGAACAUCCAGGCAGGAUAGGGGACCACGCGCCGCUCCCCCUGGCUUUUUGGAAACUUUACACAGAGUGGAAUCCGCCUGACCCCAAAGCUGCGUUGUCAGGCUCCGAGCCCUGCCGAGGUCUGAGCAGCCGCGUCUAGGGAGGCAGGGACCUGGCCGCGGACCUGCCUGGGGAGCGGCACCACCCGGGGCGCGGCUGCGCUGCUGUGAGUCGCUGGCGGCUGGGACACAGGCCCUCUCUGUGUUCUGGAUGGGCAGUGGCUGUUGUGGAGCACAGACUCUGCAGGGCUUUAGGGCAGAGGUGGGGGUGUCGGAAGCGGCAUCCGUGUGACCUAAGAGCGGGCCUGCAUCUCAGGAUGGGAGGUUCCGCGUGGACAGGAGGAGGCAGAGUAAGCGCUGCGGCCCUCACGGGGGAGGUGCGGUCUUGGGCCUCUGAUCUUGGGGUCCCUGUAAGUGACCAGGGUUCCGCCCGCGGGAGGGCGGGGCGAGGAGCGGCGCCCCUGCCAUCACCGAGUUGGAUGCCUGAGCUUCCACAGGGCCUCUGCCCCGCGGCAGCGUCGCCUGUUCUCCCGGGGCGUCCCGGCGCCCGCGCGUAGCACCGAGGCUGUUUGUACAUCACGGCCUUCGGCGGAAUGACAUCACCCCUGGGGGCCCUGAAGGGGACGGUGGCUUCUGAGCCCCGGGCCGGUGGGCCUGGGCGGCCUCCGCCCCGGAAGAGACGCCCCGUGGACAGAGAAGCUGGGGUCCCGCUCCCCUCCUCCGUCCAGGUGCAGUGGGACCCCGCGGCGCGGUCGGCCUUCCUCUGCCAAAGCCGGUGUCGCCAGCGGCUAAGGGGCCUGCGGCGGGCGCCGCCCUGCGCUUCGCCGGGGAAGCACCGCCCCCCAGCGGCCAGAGGGCGGCGCGGCGUCCCUCCCGCAGCGGGUCCUGGCGCCUCGGUUCCUUCCAUCCAGCCUGGGCUCCUUCAUCAAAGGCGCGCGGGUUGGCGCGCGCCGCUGUUGGGAGUGAAUCGGGACACGGUCUCCGAGGGCGACUAGCAGACAUCUGUCAAAGCGAAGACUGCACAUACUUGGGUGGAGCAAGAACUUAUCCAGACUGGAUUUUCCAAAAGUGCAAGGUUGGUCUUUGUGGGCCAAGUGCUCCUCCAGGGCUUUGCCUCCGCUGGCAGGAGUGGACUCCUGUCCCUUGGGGGCCGCCUCGCCGCGGGCCUGACUUCCCAGGUGACGACGUCACCAACGCAGGGAACCCCCGGGUCCCUCUCAGAACGGCCACCUCUGGGGCUCAGCCACCCAGUUGUCAGGGAGCCCAGGCGCCCGAGAGGCCACGUGCAAAGUCCAGUCCCAGCCACGGUCCCAGCCAGCAGCCCCUGCCAGCCCCGUGAGCAGGCCAGGCCUCUAAAAGAGGCCCCGAGUUCCCGCCAUGAACGGCCACCACCGAGGCCCCUGGAGCAGGGCCUGUGCUCCCCACCUGCCCAGACUGCACAGUUGUGAGCCAAGAUGAAUGCUGCCAUCGUUGUCGGUUACUCAGAUUUGGGGUGAUCUGUUACCCACCCGGAGAGGCUGAGACAGAUUCCGGUAACGGCACCAGGUACGUGUUUCGGACUUAUCUGCACACACGCAAAAUGGCAAAUUUCCGCCAGUUUGGUUUGCAGCAACCAAAGACUGGAGACCACCUACUGCUCCGCCAACAGAGUAUAGAUCAAACUACAGUCCAUACACAGUGGAGUCCUUGGCAACUAGACAAAGAACGAGCAGGUUUCAAAGGAAUUAAUACGCUUUUCAAGAUAAAUCAUUAAAGUGAGAAAAUAAGCAGCAGGGGAACGCGCACACGUGCUGUCCUUUAGGGAGAAGGAAAAUAACGCGUCUCUUUAGAUGGGGAUGGCUUUCUGAAAGGACCCGGGCACCCGGGCGCGGAGGCAGGGUCUCGGCUGCUCCCUUCUCCACCCGCCAACAUUGUGAGCAAGUGAACAUCCACCUGCCUAAAAAACCAAUCAUUUUCAAUGUAUAAAGGCCUUCUGAUCUGCUGGACAGGAUGAGAGAAAUGCACCUUAUUCUUCUACUGUUUAGACAGAGUGAAGCAUGCCAGUGAAGAGGGAAAAUCUCUAGUCGGGCUACGGGGGUUCAGGUCCUGCCUCUGCCCUUGACCUUGGGCAAGUUACUCAAAUGACCAGGUUUUUUAGCUGGUUGACCUUAAGCCUGCUCUUCUUUUUAAAAAGUUGUUCUUGACUGACAAUGUUGGGUUCCUUUCUGCCGUACAGCACAGUGAAUUCGUUAUGCGCAUUUAUCUCUUUUUAGGAUACUCUUUUCCAUUCUGGUUUCUCAUAGGACACUGGCCGCAGUUCUCUGUGCUGUACAGUAGGCCUGUGUUUACCUGCUCCGGGUAUAACAGCUUCUAUCUGCUGACCCCAAACGCCCCGUCCGUCCCACUCUCUCCCCCUUGGCAGCCCCAGGUCUGUUCUCCUUGUGUGUGAGGCUGCUUCUGUUCUGGAGGCAGGCUCAUUUGCGCCACAUUUUAGAUUCCACAUAGAAGUGCUCUCAUACGCUACCACCAGUUCUUUCGUUUCUCCUCUGUACAGUGGAGCGUGAUACUGCAUUCAGUUCAAGAUAGCUGGCAGCUUGUGUGAAUUAUUUAGAAACAGUUUCCAAACAUAUGAGGACCCAGUAGGUUUUUUGGUUGGUUUUUGAUUCCUAGCUUUAUUGCAUUUCUUUGUAGUUCUAGAACAGGCUUCUCAUGAUUUCGCACAGGCUGGGUAUGAAAUCUGAUGAGACUGACUUCGAGACUCGGCAUAGGGCACAUUUUGGGAAAUUACAUGCAGGAAGGAAGUAGAUGCAGUGUUUUCUAUCUGUCCACUACUUUAAGGUUUUGUACUGUCAGCUCUUCUAUGUUGUUACUGAUUUUUUUUUUUAAUCACGAAGAGGACGUGUUUAAAAUACUCCACUAAGCGUUUGGACUGGUAUCUAUUGAUUUCUAUGGUUGUAUUUAACUUUCCUUCCCAUAUUCUGAUGCACGUCUCUAGCGUUUGUGAUCUCACGCCCUCUGUGUGUAAUGCCUACUAUGUACACACAUGGCGGGCAUUGUUCUAAUUGAAAUACACGCAGCUCGGUUCGCCUCUCAACCACCCUACGAAGAAGUUUCUUUAGUAUUCAUCGUGCACGUGGAAACUAAAAAAGUCAGAGACUAGGAAUUUGCUGAAAAUUACACAUACAGGUGGUAGCCGAACUGGGACUGGAACAGGCUCUGAAAUCUGUGCUUUUAACCAAAAUUUUACAUCGUUCUCGUGAAUGAGUAUCUGUCACUAUGAUAAGAGCUUCUUUGCCUUAGAUCUCUUCUUAAACAAAAUAUUUGUUUAAUAUUAAUGUGACUUAAUAUUUACUACAGGUAAAUAUUAUUUUAAUUUAAAGUUAACUUAUUAAAUAUUUGAUUGAC
ensembl:lncRNA